rnacentral:lncRNA from 1 species
GGAUUAAGGUAUAAGGAUAGUAGAUAGUUUAUAAUUGUUCACCAAUAGUCUUAGUAGCAUGCGUGUCCCUUAGUAUUCUUGGAUUUCUAUUAUUUUAUGUGGUUGUAUUGGCCUCGGGUAUUGUAUUUCCUAUUGUUGUUUUUUGGUACCACUUAUCCUUUAUCCCCCCCCCCCCCCUUUUUUUUUUUUAUUUUUUUUUUUUUUUUUUUUUUUUUUUUUUUUUUUUUUUUUUUUUUUUNNUUUUUU